rnacentral:sRNA from 1 species
GCCGGGCAUGGUGGUGCACGCCUGUAAUCCCAGCAACUUGGGAGGCUGAGACAGGAGGAUCAUGAGUUCAAAGCCAGCCUCAGCAACAGUGAGGCACUAAGCAACUCAAUGAGACCCUGUCUCUA